GGAGAGGAGGCUCCCACUGCAGAAGACCCUGAGGUUCCCGACUUCCACGUUGGAGAGAUGGGCUGCGCAAGGGAUGGGAGACCCAAUCUUUGGCACUCGAAGUUCAACAGGGCUCUAAGCACAUCAGAUGGACCACACAAGCCAGCUGUGUAGGCUCCUGUCCUGUCUGGCGUAGCUCAGCUGUCCACUCUGAUGGAAGUCCAUCUGUCUGAACAGCCAACGGGUCAGCUGUCCAACCAGACCCUGCUCCCCGUCAGCUCUCCUAAUCACUCACCUGCCGGCUUCUCCUUUUCCCUUCCCCGUGUUUCUCAUGAAACCAACUUGUGUUGGCUGCUUGGACUUGAAAUGAACUGAGAGCCGUCUUUCCAAAACCAGGCUUUAUUGAUUUUGUUCGCUUCCUUUUCUUGAAGUUGGGGUCUCGCUCUGUAGCCCUGGCUGGUCUGAAACUCAAAGAGAGCCAUUUGCUCUGCCUCCUGAGUGCUGGGAUCAAAGGCACAUGCCACCGCCCUUGGCCUUCAUUCACCUUUUUAUGGACACAGUUGGAUGAAGGGUGACACUCUUAGGUAGGUGCAUACUUCUCUGCUGGAAUGAACCAGAACACCCACAGCACUGUAGUCAACCAUAUUCCUUCUCCCCGCUUCUCGAUGGCGAGGGGGAUGCUUUUCCUUCCUGCAGUCUUCCCUUUCUGCAGAUGAAUAGGAACGGAACCAGUGUGAGGCUUCUGGGAUCCGGAUCCCUUCUCUGGGGUUCGUGUUUUGCAGAUUCAUGCUGGGAGUAUCACGAGUCAGCAGUAGGACUUUUCCUGGCUAUAUUCCAUUGUUUAGAUUACUGUUUACUUAUUAAGAUGGUUGUUGCCAUCUUUUAGCAUAUUAAUUUUUGAAUGAUUAGAGCUGCUGUAAAUGUAUAUAGGUUUCUGUGUGAAUAUAUUUUCUUUUUUAUUUUUUUUCUCAGUAAAUAGUUAACAAUGAGAUUGCUGGUUC